rnacentral:sRNA from 1 species
CCACGCCCCAGCAAACACAAACGCCAGACCAAUCAUCGCCGCAGUCAUCGUAGGAGCGCGCGCGCGCGCGAUGGGGCGUUACCGGGAAAGCCCUCGCGCGCAAGCCCGCUCCUACAACAGCGCUGUGGUUCGGGUUGCCGUAUUCACGUCGAUCAACACAGGCGAUGCGACGCAAGCACGCUCACUGCGCUGUCGCGCUGGCGCAAGGCGCGACGCAACGUGACUCAAUCGAGCUCCACUCCCCAGCAAUCACAAACGCCAGACCAAUCAUCACCCCGACCAUCGUAGGAGCGCGCUCGCGCGCGAUGGGGCGUUACCGUGAAGGCCCUCGCGCGCAAGCGCGCUCCUACAACAGCGCCCGAAACCAACAGC